rnacentral:rRNA from 1 species
GAUGAACGCUGGCGGCGUGCCUAAUACAUGCAAGUCGAGCGAACAGAUGAGGAGCUUGCUCCUCUGACGUUAGCGGCGGACGGGUGAGUAACACGUGGAUAACCUACCUAUAAGACUGGGAUAACUACGGGAAACCGGAGCUAAUACCGGAUAAUAUAUUGAACUGCAUGGUUCAAUAGUGAAAGACGGUUUUGCUGUCACUUAUAGAUGGACCCGCACCGCAUUAGAUAGUUGUUAAGGUAACGGCUUACCAAGGCAGCGAUGCGUACCCGACCCGAAAGGGUGAUCGACUAGCCUGGAACUGAGACAGGGUCCAGACUCCGACGGGAGGAAGCAGUAGGGAAUCUUCCGCAAUGGGCGAGAGCCUGACGGAGCAACGCCGCGUGAGUGAUGAAGGUCUUCGGAUCGUAAAACUCUGUUAUUAGGAAGGAACAAAUGUGUAAGUAGCUAUGCACGUCUUGACGGUACCUAAACAGAAAGCCACGGCUAACUACGUG